CCUACGGGCGGCAGCAGUGAGGAAUAUUGGUCAAUGGACGAGAGUCUGAACCAGCCAAGUAGCGUGAAGGAUGACUGCCCUAUGGGUUGUAAACUUCUUUUAUAUGGGAAUAAAAUGUUCCACGUGUGGGCUUUUGUAUGUACCAUAUGAAUAAGGAUCGGCUAACUCCGUGCCAGCAGCCGCGGUAAUACGGAGGAUCCGAGCGUUAUCCGGAUUUAUUGGGUUUAAAGGGAGCGUAGGUGGAUUGUUAAGUCAGUUGUGAAAGUUUGCGGCUCAACCGUAAAAUUGCAGUUGAAACUGGCAGUCUUGAGUACAGUAGAGGUGGGCGGAAUUCGUGGUGUAGCGGUGAAAUGCUUAGAUAGCGCGAAGAACUCCGAUUGCGAAGGCAGCUCACUGGACUGCAACUGACACUGAGGCUCGAAAGUGUGGGUAUCAAACAGGAUUAGAUACCCGAGUAGUC
rnacentral:rRNA from 1 species